rnacentral:rRNA from 1 species
CCUACGGGCGGCAGCAGUGGGGAAUAUUGGACAAUGGGGGGAACCCUGAUCCAGCCAUGCCGCGUGUGUGAAGGCCCUCGGGUUGUAAAGCACUUUCAGUGAGGAAGAACGCCUGGUGGUUAAUACCCAUCAGGAAAGACAUCACUCACAGAAGAAGCACCGGCUAACUCCGUGCCAGCAGCCGCGGUAAUACGGAGGGUGCGAGCGUUAAUCGGAAUUACUGGGCGUAAAGCGCGCGUAGGUGGCUUGAUAAGCCGGUUGUGAAAGCCCCGGGCUCAACCUGGGAACGGCAUCCGGAACUGUCAAGCUAGAGUGCAGGAGAGGAAGGUAGAAUUCCCGGUGUAGCGGUGAAAUGUGUAGAGAUCGGGAGGAAUACCAGUGGCGAAGGCGGCCUUCUGGACUGACACUGACACUGAGGUGCGAAAGCGUGUGUAGCAAACAGGAUUAGAUACCCGAGUAGUC